GCACCAGCUCGCUUCCCUGAAAGAAGCUAGGUGCUGAAGAAGUACUUGACUAACCUACCCGCAUUGUCAUUGUGACAGUCUGCAUCACCAUUCGGCCUAUUUUGGGAUCCCACAAGACACGCUGCUACCCUGGGUGUUGUACCUCGGUCAAUUGCUGAAGUUCUGCAAGCCCCAUUGAAGCCAACAGUCAUCCGCAUCCAAUGGAAGAAACUCAUUGUUCGGGCCGUCAUAAUUUAUCUUAGGCUGAAACUAGAAGCAGGGUAGAAACAGCAUAUAUUCUACAAGAAUUUACCACUGCAUGCCGUCGGGUGGCUACACCCGACAGGCUACUGUCUUGAACAGAGAUGGUGUUUUAUUCUAGAAUAUAUUUGUCAGCAGUACUA